UCACGUGCUACAAUGGCAUAUACAAUGAGACGCAAUACCGCGAGGUGGAGCAAAUCUAUAAAAUAUGUCCCGGUUCGGAUUGUUCUCUGCAACUCGAGAGCAUGAAGCC
rnacentral:rRNA from 1 species